rnacentral:rRNA from 1 species
UAUCUGGUUGAUCCUGCCAGUAGUCAUAUGCUUGUCUCAAAGCUUAAGCCAUGCAAGUCUCAGUGCAAACUUAAUUAAAGUGAAACCGCAAAAAGCUCAUUAAAUCAGUUAUGGUUUACUGGCGCAUCAUUCCUUUAUGGAUAACUGUGGUAAUUCUAGAGCUAAUACAUGCAACACAUGUCCUGUCCAGUAAUGGUAGGGACGCUUUUAUUAGGUCAAAACCAAUCGGUUCGGAUCGCUCCGUUCCGUUGAUAAUUGACGACUCUGGGUAACACGCAAGAUCGCACGGUCCUCGUACCGGCGACGCACCUUUCAAAUGACUGACUUAUCAACUGUCGAUGGUAGAUUUUUUGUCUACCAUGGUUGUAACGGGUAACGGGGAAUCAGGGUUCGAUUCCGGAGAGGGAGCCUGAGAAACUGCUACCACAUCCAAGGAAGGCAGCAGGCACGCAAAUUACCCACUCCCGGCACGGGGAGGUAGUGACAAAAAAUAACGAUACGGGACUCAUCCGAGGCCCCGUAAUCGGAAUGAGUACACUUUAAAUCCUUUAACAAGGAUCCAUUGGAGGGCAAGUCUGGUGCCAGCAGCCGCGGUAACUCCAGCUCCAACAGCGUAUAUUAAAGUUGUUGCGGUUAAAAAGCUCGUAGUUGGUUCUGUGUGCCACGCUGUCGGUUCACCGCCUGCCGGUGCAACUGACAUGUCGUGGGAUGUCUUGCCGGAGGGGGCCGAAACCCUUCCCUAGUGUUGGGCCGAGGUCCUCGCAAUGCUGCCAGGGUGCUCUUCACCGAGUGUCGGGGCAGGCCGGCAAGAUUACUUUGAACAAAUUAGAGUGCUUAAAGCGGGCCUAAUGUUGCCUAAAUAGUUGUGCAUGGAAUAAUGGAAUAGGACCUUGUUACUGUUUUGUUGGCUUUCGGUGAUCAAGGUAAUGAUCAAUGUGGACUGGCGGGGGGAUUCGUAUUUCGACGUUUGAGGGGAAAAUCUUUGGUCGUCGCAAGACGAAAUAAAGAGAAAAAAAUUUCCAAGAAAUU